CCUACGGUGGGCAGCAGUGGGGAAUAUCGCACAAUGGGGGGAACCCUGAUGCAGCGACGCCGCGUGAGUGAAGAAGUAUUUCGGUAUGUAAAGCUCUAUCAGCAGGGAAGAAAAUGACGGUACCUGACUAAGAAGCCCCGGCUAACUACGUGCCAGCAGCCGCGGUAAUACGUAGGGGGCAAGCGUUAUCCGGAUUUACUGGGUGUAAAGGGAGCGCAGACGGCUGUGCAAGUCUGGAGUGAAAGGCGGGGGCCCAACCCCCAGACUGCUCUGGAAACUGUAAAGCUGGAGUGCAGGAGAGGUAAGCGGAAUUCCUAGUGUAGCGGUGAAAUGCGUAGAUAUUAGGAGGAACACCAGUGGCGAAGGCGGCUUACUGGACUGCAACUGACGUUGAGGCUCGAAAGCGUGGGGAGCAAACAGGAUUAGAUACCCCAGUAGUC
rnacentral:rRNA from 1 species